rnacentral:tRNA from 1 species
GCCUGGGUGGCUCAGUCGGUUGAGUGUCUGACUUUGGCUCAGGUCAUGGUCUCAUGGCUCGUGAGUUCGAGCCCCACAUCGGGCU